rnacentral:rRNA from 1 species
AUUGAACUCUGGCGGCAGGCCUAACACAUGCAAGUCGAGCGGAGCGGCGGACGGGUGAGUAAUGUCUGGGAAACUGCCUGAUGGAGGGGGAUAACACCUGGAAACGGUAGCUAAUACCGCAUACUAUCAUAUGAGCCCAUGUCGGAUUAGCUCGUUGGUGGGGUAAAGGCUGACCAAGGCGACGAGCCGUAACUGGUCUGAGAGGAUGAUCAGUCACACUGGAACUGAGACACGGUCCAGACUCCUACGGGAGGCAGCAGGGGGGAAGAUUGGACAAUGGGAGAAAGCCUGAUCCAGCCAUGCCGCGUGUGUGAAGAAGGUCUUCGGAUUGUAAAGCACUUUAAGUUGGGAGGCGUUACCAACAGAAUAAGCACCGGCUAACUUCGUGCCAGCAGCCGCGGUAAUAC